GCUGGCGGCAGGCCUACACAUGCAAGUCGAGCGGUAGCACAGGGAGCUUGCUCCUGGGUGACGAGCGGCGGACGGGUGAGUAAUGUCUGGGAAACUGCCUGAUGGAGGGGGAUAACUACUGGAAACGGUAGCUAAUACCGCAUAACGUCUUCGGACCAAAGAGGGGGACCUUCGGGCCUCUUGCCAUCAGAUGUGCCCAGAUGGGAUUAGCUAGUAGGUGGGGUAAUGGCUCACCUAGGCGACGAUCCCUAGCUGGUCUGAGAGGAUGACCAGCCACACUGGAACUGAGACACGGUCCAGACUCCUACGGGAGGCAGCAGUGGGGAAUAUUGCACAAUGGGCGCAAGCCUGAUGCAGCCAUGCCGCGUGUAUGAAGAAGGCCUUCGGGUUGUAAAGUACUUUCAGCGAGGAGGAAGGCAUUGUGGUUAAUAACCACAGUGAUUGACGUUACUCGCAGAAGAAGCACCGGCUAACUCCGUGCCAGCAGCCGCGGUAAUACGGAGGGUGCAAGCGUUAAUCGGAAUUACUGGGCGUAAAGCGCACGCAGGCGGUUUGUUAAGUCAGAUGUGAAAUCCCCGGGCUCAACCUGGGAACUGCAUUUGAAACUGGCAAGCUUGAGUCUUGUAGAGGGGGGUAGAAUUCCAGGUGUAGCGGUGAAAUGCGUAGAGAUCUGGAGGAAUACCGGUGGCGAAGGCGGCCCCCUGGACAAAGACUGACG
rnacentral:rRNA from 1 species